rnacentral:rRNA from 1 species
GCAAUUAAAUCUAGCCCAACAACAGACAAUUAAUCCCACCAAACAAUAAUUACACUACCAAAAACUUAACUAAAACAUUCUACUAUCUAAGUAUAGGUGAUAGAAAAGUAAAACAGGAGCAAUAAAGAUAGUACCGCAAGGGAAAGAUGAAAAACAUGAAAAACCACUAAGCAACAAAAAGCAAAGAUUAACCCUUAUACCUCUUGCAUCAUGAUUUAACCAGCACACUUAAGCAAAGAGAACUAAAGUCUAAACCCCCGAAACCAAGUGAGCUACUUAAAGGCAGCCAAUAUCACAGGCUAAACCCGUCUCUGUGGCAAAAGAGUGGAAAGACCUAUAAGUAGAAGUGAAAAGCCUAUCGAACUUGGUGAUAGCUGGUUGCUCAAUAAAUGAAUGUAAGUUCAACCUUAAAUCUUCUAAAAACAACCUAAAGUUUACCCAAAAGAAAAGUUUAAGAUAUAUUCAAUCGGGGUACAGCCCAAUUGAAAAAGGACACAACCUAAAAUGGAGGACAAAACACCAAAAUAUAUUACUCCGUAGGCCUUAAAGCAGCCACCAUCAAAGAAAGCGUCAAAGCCCACUAUUAUGUAAAUACUAACAUAAAACUUUUACCCCCAAAUAAUACUGAGCCAUUCUACCCCUAUAGAAGAACCAAUGCUAAAAUGAGUAACAAGAAGAAAAACUUCUCUUACGCGCCAGCUUAAAUCAUAAUAGAUAAACUACUGAUUAUUAACAAUUAAUAGUAUAUGAAACAACAACACUUAAAACACCAUAUAACUAAACUGUUAACCCGACACAGGAGCGCACAUAAGAAAGAUUAAAAUCCGUAAAAGGAACUAGGCAAACUAAACGAACCCGACUGUUUACCAAAAACAUAGCCCCUAGCAACACACAAGUAUUGGGGGUAAUGCCUGCCCAGUGACACUGUUUUAAACGGCCGCGGUAUCCUAACCGUGCAAAGGUAGCGUAAUCACUUGUCUUCUAAAUAAAGACUAGAAUGAAUGGCCAAACGAGGUUCUACCUGUCUCUUACAGAUAAUCAGUGAAAUUGGUCUCCCCGUGCAAAAGCGAGGAUAAUCCUAUAAGACGAGAAGACCCUGUGGAACUUUAAACACAAAUCAACUACCAUCAAACACCAAACUAAGGAUUUAUGACCAACUAGUAUAUGAUCCACGUUUUCGGUUGGGGCGACCUCGGAGUAAAGCACAACCUCCGAAAAAAGAGCAUACUUCUCUAAACCUAGACUUACAACUCAAAGUGCUAACAGCAAAAAGAUCCAAUAUAUUUGAUCAACGAACUAAGCUACCCCAGGGAUAACAGCGCAAUCCCAUCCUAGAGCCCUUAUCGACGAUGGGGUUUACGACCUCGAUGUUGGAUCAGGACAUCCUGAUGGUGAAACCGCUAUCAAGGGUUCGUUUGUUCAACGAUUAAUAGUCCUACGUGAUCUGAGUUCAGACCGGAGCAAUCCAGGUCGGUUUCUAUCUAUAUGAAUCUUGAGUCUUUUCUAGUACGAAAGGACCGAAAAGACAGGGCCUACAUUAAAAACAAGCCUUACCUUACAUUAGUGAAGACAACUAAACUAAUAAUUAAAAUAUUAAACCACAACUUCAAAAUAAGAGUC